rnacentral:rRNA from 1 species
CAAGCGUUGUUCGGAAUUACUGGGCGUAAAGGGCUCGCAGGCGGCCGACUUAAGUCAGACGUGAAAUCCCUUGGCUUAACCAAGGAAUGGCGUCUAGAUACUGGACGGCUUGAAUCCGGAGAGGGAUGUGGAAUUCCAGGUGUAGACGGUGAAAUGACGUAGAUAUCGUGGAGGAACACCGGUGGCGAAGGCGGCAUCCUGGACCGGUAUUGACGCUGAGGAGCGAAAGCCAGGGGAGCAAACGGG